rnacentral:tRNA from 1 species
GGCUGGUCAUGGCGGGCGGAACGGGCAAACAGGCUCCGGUUCUGCUUCUGGUUCGGGUUCCGGUUCCGGUUCCGGUUCUGCUUCUGGUAACCAGCCGC